rnacentral:ncRNA from 16 species
ACCUUAUCAAGAGAGGUGGAGGGACUGGCCCUAUGAUACCCGGCAACCGCUGUUUCAAACAGAAUGGUGCUAAAUCCUUAAGAACAUUGCGUUCUUGCAGAUGAGGC